UGGGCGUUGAACCUCAUUCACUUACAUUACGGCGCGUCGAUUAGUUCCAGAGCCUCAUAUGUCAGCCUCAUAUGGCUGUUGCUGCUGCUGCUGGAGGAGGCUGCUGCUGCUGGAGGAGGGUGCUGCUGCUGAAGGAGGCUGGUGCUGCUGGAGGAGGCUGGUGCUGGCAACGGCUGCAGGUGAUGACUGCUGAAAGAAGAGGAGGCUGGAGGCUGCUGACGGUGGACCGGGAAUGGAGAUGCCAAGUACAUCGAUGGCAACGAGUAAGGUGUUUGGCAGUGGCCUAGAUGUUAUGACCUUCGGUGCAGAGGUCUGUUGGGUCUUCUUUGCCUUCUUACUCUGACUCUUGCUGCCAAGAUACCCUUUAUGUUUAUCCUUCCUCUCAGCCCUGAUGCACUUUGAUGCAAUCCUUAACCUCAGCCUGAUGUAUGUUGAGAGGAUUUUUUUCUUCAGGUCAUGGCAUGAGGGAAGGUUGCUGUCCAGCAACAUGGCUUCUUGUUCCAGCUGUGACACUGCAUUUGAGGACUCCAUGAGGGAAUGCUCGUCCUCACACGGAACAUCUGCUCCACGUUCUGAACAAGGGUGAAAACCUCAUCAGAUGGACGGUAAAGUGCACCCCUUUUAAAUUAUUUUAAUACCAGCAGACCAGCUCUCUCAUUUUCACCAUCACUGACAUUUUUCACUAGGGCACACUGGCAUUUGUCACAAAGUGAGAAGCUGAUGACCCUUUUCACAAUGUAUCCUGCAAGGUGGUAUAGCACACAGGACUCGGUUUUAGUGAUGUCAGGUGGUGUUGUCAGGUCUACUAGCUGCUCCACUCUCAGAACGUCAGGAGGACUGCAGCUGCUGUUCUGCGUGUCCAGGAAGUCUGCCAAGUGGUCUGAUCCAUCCUCCACGUAACUGCCAGUAUGCACUGGCGAUAGGAACUGGCCCACAGUGACAGCGCGCAGAGCAUAUUGGAACUCUCCAGGUGUUGGGACAGAGUUCCUCAGACGAAUGGACGAAAAUGUGUUUUCCAGGCAGUCUUGAGUGAAGCGGCUUGUGAGAACAAAUUUGUGCCCUUGUCUCAACAGGUCAUGCUGGACCUCCAGGCUGGUUUCCAGCUGCCCUUGGGACCGAUCUUCAGGCCCCGAAACAGAUGGAUGGAGUCCCGGAGGAAGCUGAUGGCCUUAUCAUACUCCUCCAUCUUGAAAUGACUUAGGGCAGUAACAGUGUUGCGUGACGACAUGAGGUCAAACCAGUGGUCCACCGUCUCCAAAAACCAUGCAGUGGUAAGGUAGGACUCUGGUCUGUGCUCCUCUGCCACCAUGUACCUCAGGGCAGCACUCGAUGACUUGGAGAAGACGUGCAUUGCUGAACUGACCUUCAUUUUCUCAAAAUGACUAGGCUCCAGGACGCCUCGAGACAGCUUAGGUGCCAGUUUUAGGGCCAUUCCCUCUUGGUAUGACACCAGAUCCUUCAGGGGGCCAACAGACACCACACUGGACGGCAGCUUCUCUUUGUCCACCACAUCCUGUGGUAUGGUGAUGACGUGACCAUUCACCAAGGCACUGUUUAAAUUCUUCACCACGUGUGGAACAUCAGGCAUGAAGUACAGGUGCUGGUGUGGCUUCACAGGAUGUGCUGUCCACGGCUUGUCAUAGGUCACCCCAAAGGACUUCCACAUAGCCCUAUUGGGGCUCCCCAUAUCAGUAGUGAUGUUAACCACAUGAAGCCCUAUAGAUGCCGCUGCUUCAACGAUGUAUUGUGUUCCCAAACAGCCUCCCUGUUCCCAGAUGCAGCUCCACGCUAGGGGUGAUGGACAUCUCAUCCAAGGUGAGCACACAUUUCUUCUCCAUCUCACUCAUGCCAUCUGCCUUCAGCCUCAGCAUAUCAAACACCUCCCCCAACACUCCUGGCUCCAGUUUGACGUGCUGCAUCCUCCUCUGAAUGGUCCUGAUGUCAGGCAGAGGCAUAUUCAUGGCUUGGAGGGUUUUAUAUCCUGUAGUGCCACAACAGAACCUUAGUUGUAUUGCUUUUUUCACGGUUUCUUUCCCCCACCGUAUCCCACCUUUUUUUGAUUGCCCAAGUGCUCUAAUUUGGUCUGUGUUGAAGAUUUGUUUAAACUUUAGAUUAAUCAAAUUGUGUUGUUUUUUUAAUGCCGAAUUAAUCCUUUUCCGUUUUACCAGAGCCCUCUCUGCUCUCUUUCUUAAUAAUCUCUCCCUUCUCAGUUGCCUCAUUAGAUCCUCCACGUGAGCCCGGUCACAACUGGCCCUUGGCAGUCUGGUCCCUGGAGCACCUGACCCUGGCAAACUGGCCUCUUCAUAGCUGACCCCUGACUGACUGGCUCCUGGCACACUGAUCUCUGGGAAGCCAUACAUCCGGAACUCCUUCUCGGAUCGAUUAGAGCAUCCAAAUGUUGCACAUCCAACCAUGGGCCCAGGAAACAGAUGAAGAGGAUGUCCUUUUCACAAAGGAACCUUUUUGUUUUUUUUCAAAAUGGUUAGGAUGCCCGAGAGUUCUGUAUUGCUUUUUUGUAAAUAGUAUUGCUUUUUUGGAAAUAGUUGCUUACCCUAACCCUUUUUUGUAAAUAGUAUUGCUUUUUAUAAAUAGUUGCUUGUAAAUAUUUGUAAAAUGCCCCCCCCAAAUGUGUUAUUCACACUCCUGACUCCAGUUUGAUGUGCUGCAUUCUCCUCUGAGUGGUCCUGAUUUCAGGCAGAGGUCAUGGCUUGGAAGGUUUUAUAUUCUGUAGUGUCUCAACAGAACCUAAUAUGAAUUGCUUUAUUGUCUCGUCGCUGGAUCACCUCCCCCUGGCAAAGUGGCCCUCGUUAUUGUUGACAAA